CCGGGAUGGGGCUGUGUUCCUGGCAGUCCCCUGGGCUUCCUGCAGGGACCUGGAUUCUUAGUAUUUCAGGCUGCUGUCCCUUUUUUUUUUUCAUUUCCUUUUUGUUUUUGUUGUUGAUGUGACCGCGUGUCCACAACCCUGGGAUUCCCUCGCCCUCAGAUUCCAGAAUCCAAUUUCUUGGAUUUCAGUGUUUUUAAGGAUUCCGUGAGUCAGGAGCUUGGCCAGGCUCAGCUGGGACACUCAUCUUUGCUUCACCUCAUGUCAGCUGCAGCAUCUUAGGAAUGCAAGACAGCCUCAUUCACAUCCGGCGGCGGGUGCUGGCUGUCCACUGGGUGCCUUCGCUCUUUUUCAAGUGGUUUCUCAUCCUCUGGGGUUUCACUGUCUCCAUGUGGCCUCCCUAGCAAGUUGCUUAGAUUUCUUUACGUGGAAACUGGCUUUCUAGAGGGUAAAAAUGGAAGCUGCAAGGACUCUUAUGGCCCAGAAGUCCCAGAACGUCACUUCUUCCACAAGUCAUAGGGCCAGCCAAGAUUCAAGGGGAAGGAAACAGACUCUGUCUCUUCAUAUUUCAAUGGGACAAAUUGUUGCAGCCACCUUUGGAAACAAUCUACUGCAAUACACUACAGCAGUGGACAUCUGGGCCCUUACCAGGUGCCAGACGCCGUACUAACAGCUUUAUACGGAUGAACUCAUUUAAUCCUCCCAAACUCCAUGAGGUAGGGUCUGUUAGUAACCCCAGUAUGCAGAUGAGGCAAAUGAGGCAGAGAGAGUUUAAAUAACUUGAGUUACACAGCUCGUUUUUGUGCUCAGAGCCCAUGUUCUAUGUGCCAUUCCUGUGCUCUAUUGCUGUUCCUCUAAGAGUUGACGUGGCUCACAGGCUGGGGCAGAAUAAUCAAUAUAAUAUGAAUAACAGCAAUUUAAACUAACUGUCUAUGGAAUGCCUGCUAGCAAGCAUGAUAGCUUUAUGAAACUUAACUUCUUUGCUGAAUCUUCAUCUCCACCCCAGAGCCUUGCAAGCUAGCUCUCAUCCUUAUUUUGUAGAUGAGAAAACACGUGCAGAGAGGUUAAACAAUUUGGAUAUUUUACCCAAGCAAAACGUAAUGGCAGCCCACUAAGUUCCAUUAACUAAUCUGGGGAUAGGAUGUGUGGAUGCAGGGACAAUGGGACAGCCCCUCCAGCACUGCUGUGGGGAGCAGCCUAGAUCCGCAAACAUCUCGGCCCUGGCCAGGGUGAGAUUUGGGGUGGUGAGAGACCACUGCAGCCCUCCAUGGACCAGUCAGUACCUGAGAUUAAUUCCUCGCUUGCUUGGGUCCUCGUUCUGACUAUAGCUCAUCUCCCUGCGCUGGGAGACUGCCAGGAAAAGGUGUGCAGGGAUCCCGGGCUACUGGGCAGUUGUUUCGCAAGGCUCCUUGCCUAGAAUGCCUUUCCUCCAUCCUGGCUCACAGGCCACCUCCUCAGAGAGGCCUUACCUUGGCCAAGUGUGCCCCUUCCUCACAAGCCCUGCCUACCCCUGCUGUGUGGCCUUCCUGGUGCUUAUGAUUCUCUGCUGUUAUUUACAUAGAUGGCCAUGUUUUAAUCUCCCCGACUAGUAUGCAUGCUCUAUUAAGGUAGAUGCUUUUAUUUAUAGCUACCUAGCAUAUAUAUAGUAGGUAUUCAGUAAAUAUAAGGAAAAGAGAGAGAGGAAGAGAAAGAGUGAGAAAAGGAGAGAAAGAAUUCGUAGUCUCGUCUAUAUAUUCAUGUUUUAUGAUCUUGGUUGAUACUAGUCUAUCCCCAGUGGGCAAAUCUACCCUCAGCCUGUUGACCACAUUAAAUUUUAGAGCCUGAUACAGGGUAGUCCCAGACCUAGAAGAAGUCACCAAGGCAUGCUAUGGCCUUGGGAACACUCCUGCGGACCAGCUGGCCCGUUCCCUUGGUGUUACCCUCUCUCCUGCUACACAUCUGCUUUCUAACAUCAGCAGAUUGUAUUUCCUAGGAGUGCUGGUGGGUUUUCAAAACAGAGGGUCUCCUCCGACUAUUUUGCCUUCUACAAACGGGUAUUUAGUCAUGUCCAGCUUCGCCAGGCCUAUGUCAAAGAGUACUGCCCAAAAAGUGCUGCCCAAAGAAGCCACUGGCACUGUUCUGCAGGCUGUCUGCUCGAAGUCCACCUGGCCCCAGCCCCUUGGCUCUCCCCAGCUUCUGCCCUUUGCCUCCAGCAGCCUCUGGACUCUGCCGGGCUGCAAGAGUUGAUCGGAGUCUGCGUUAAUGUGAGCUACUUGGGUGUGUUUAUUACCCUCCCAGAAGUAGAUGGUGAGUUAUUAUCUCUUAGCCUCCCAGGGGCCAUUGCUCUGUUGGAGCUGGGAGAAGAGUAACCAGAUGGAAAAAGAUGGGUGUAGCGAUAACAUUCUUGACAAUGACUAAUUUUUUUUUAGCACUUACGAAGUGCCAGGCCCUUUGCUAAGCCCAAUGUCUAUAUAUAAUCUCAUUUAAUUCUCACAAAAACUCUAUUAGGCAUAUUAUUGCUAUUAUUCCCAUCUUACGGGUGAUAAAACUGAGUCAUAGAGAGGGCAAGUACAUUUGCCAAGGUUAGGCAACAAACAUAGGAUUGAAAUUCACGUUUAGGUCAUGCUUUUUUAAAUUUAAGAGAUGAAGUCUGUGUUGCUAGGCUGGAGUGUAGUGGCCAUUCACAGGUGUGAUUAUAGCACAUUACAGCCUCAAAUUCCUGGGCUCCAGCGAUCCUCCUGCCUCAGCCUCCCAAAUAGCAGGGACUCCAGGCACUUACCACCGCACACAGCUCACGCUUUUCUCACCACACCAUAGCCCUUCCUCCCAAUAUCCCCAAGCAAGAAAUAAUUUCUCUCUUCCUCACCACAAGGCAGAAGACACAGACUUGGCCCUUAGUACCCAUGAUGCAGGCUGCCCAGCCUGAACUCUGGGAUCUUCCCCAGGGUACUCACCUCAUGGCAGCCUCUCCAGGGGCUGGCGUUCCUGAUGGAGGGGAACCAGCAGCUUCAAGCAGAAGCCAAAAAGACACCCCAUCCUGGCCCUCCAGACGUCCUGGAGCCCUACUAGCAGUGUCUGUGAAAAGCCUUUCAAGGCGACCUUGUGGGUUCCAACACACAGUCGUUUAAAUGGUUUAUUGCCCCAUAAACAGGGCUCCGCAAGGACGCUGCAAGCUGUGUUAUUUCAAAUGCUCAGUAUCUGUCUUUUCAGGGUUUGGAUUUACCUUUCCCGGCUGUGGGUACUUCCUUAUUCUGGGCAGGCUGACAUUUGUCGAAGCAAAGUGGAUAUACUGGGCUGGCAGAAUGCCCUCCCACCUCUCGGGCCUGCAUGAGGAGGAGCUGGAGGAAUGUUCUUCCUCUUGCUUC
rnacentral:lncRNA from 10 species